rnacentral:rRNA from 1 species
UACCCUUAACAAGUAACAAGUUAGAGGGCAAGUCUGGUGCCAGCAGCCGCGGUAAUUCCAGCUCUAAUAGCGUAUAUUAAUAUUGUUGCAGUUAAAAAGCUCGUAGUUGAAAUUUGGGACUUUAUUAUAUUGGUUUAUCUUAUGAUGAACUGUAUAAUGGGUUUCUUCCUACUAGAGUUCGAUUCUAUUCUUAAUUGAAUGGAGUAGCUAUCUCUCGGGGUGGUCAAUUGGUUGUUAUAUCUCCACUAAUAAGCAGAGAGGGGUAAAACUCUCAAAGUAAGUUAUGUGGGUCAAGGUAUGAUGAUUAAUUGGAGUUCUAGUUCAUUUACUUUGAGAAAAUUAGAGUGUUUAAAGCAGCCUCUUGGGGCACUGAAUACAUUAGCAUGGGAUAAUAAAAUAGGAUCUUCACAAUAUAUUUUAUUGGUUUAAAUUGGAUAUGAAGAUAAUGAUUAAUAGGGACAGUUGGG